rnacentral:rRNA from 1 species
AGUGAACGCUGGCGGUGGGCCUAACACAUGCAAGUCGAACGGCAGCACAGUAAGAGCUUGCUCUUACGGGUGGCGAGUGGCGGACGGGUGAGGAAUACAUCGGAAUCUACUUUUUCGUGGGGGAUAACGUAGGGAAACUUACGCUAAUACCGCAUACGACCUACGGGUGAAAGCAGGGGAUCUUCGGACCUUGCGCGAUUGAAUGAGCCGAUGUCGGAUUAGCUAGUUGGCGGGGUAAAGGCCCACCAAGGCGACGAUCCGUAGCUGGUCUGAGAGGAUGAUCAGCCACACUGGAACUGAGACACGGUCCAGACUCCUACGGGAGGCAGCAGUGGGGAAUAUUGGACAAUGGGCGCAAGCCUGAUCCAGCCAUACCGCGUGGGUGAAGAAGGCCUUCGGGUUGUAAAGCCCUUUUGUUGGGAAAGAAAAGCAGCAGGUUAAUACCCCGCUGUUCUGACGGUGCCCAAAGAAUAAGCACCGGCUAACUUCGUG